rnacentral:rRNA from 1 species
GCAGGCCUAAUACAUGCAAGUCGAACGGAAACGAUGGGAGCUUGCUCCCAGGCGUCGAGUGGCGGACGGGUGAGUAACGCGUAGGAAUCUACCCAGUAGCGGGGGAUAGCCCGGGGAAACUCGGAUUAAUACCGCAUACGCCCCACGGGGGAAAGGCCGGGAUCUUCGGACCGGUCACUAUUGGAGGAGCCUGCGUUGGAUUAGCUAGUUGGUAGGGUAAUGGCCUACCAAGGCGACGAUCCAUAGCUGGUCUGAGAGGACGAUCAGCCACACUGGAACUGAGACACGGUCCAGACUCCUACGGGAGGCAGCAGUAGGGAAUAUUGCACAAUGGGCGAAAGCCUGAUGCAGCCAUGCCGCGUGUGUGAAGAAGGCCCUAGGGUUGUAAAGCACUUUCAGUAGGGAAGAAUUAGCGAGGCUAAUAACCUUGUGAAAUGACGUUACCUACAGAAGAAGUACCGGCUAACUCCGUGCCAGCAGCCGCGGUAAUACGGAGGGUACGAACGUUAAUCGGAAUUACUGGGCGUAAAGCGCGUGUAGGUGGUUCAUCAAGUGGGAUGUGAAAGCCCGGGGCUCAACCUCGGAACUGCAUUCCAAACUGACGAACUAGAGUACGAGAGAGGGGGGUAGAAUUCAGAGUGUAGCGGUGAAAUGCGUAGAUAUUCUGAGGAAUACCAGUGGCGAAGGCGGCCCCCUGGCUUGAUACUGACACUCAGACGCGAAAGCGUGGGGAGCAAACAGGAUUAGAUACCCUGGUAGUCCACGCCGUAAACGAUGUCUGCUAGCCGUUGGGAGGCUUGACCUUUUAGUGGCGAAGCUAACGCGAUAAGCAGACCGCCUGGGGAGUACGGUCGCAAGAUUAAAACUCAAAUGAAUUGACGGGGGCCCGCACAAGCGGUGGAGCAUGUGGUUUAAUUCGAUGCAACGCGAAAAACCUUACCAGGCCUUGACAUCCUGAGAACUUUCUAGAGAUAGAUUGGUGCCUUCGGGAGCUCAGUGACAGGUGUUGCAUGGCUGUCGU